GAUGAAGAACGCAGCGAAAUGCGAUAAGUAAUGUGAAUUGCAGAAUUCAGUGAAUCAUCGAAUCUUUGAACGCACAUUGCGCUCUCUGGUAUUCCGGGGGGCAUGCCUGUUCGAGCGUCAUUAUAACCACUCAAGCUCUCGCUUGGUAUUGGGGUUCGCGGUUUCGCGGCCCCUAAAAUCAGUGGCGGUGCCUGUCGGCUCUACGCGUAGUAAUACUUCUCGCGAUUGAGUUCGAUAGGUCUACUUGCCAGUAACCCCCAAUUUUUACAGGUUGACCUCGGAUCAGGUAGGGAUACCCGCUGAACUUAAGCAUAUCAAUAAGCGGAGGA
rnacentral:misc_RNA from 1 species